ACUGAAAAGGAAUUGUAAGCAAGGAACCAGGAGAGUGGCAUGUCAUAGACACUAAGGGAAAAUGUUUUUAAAAAUCAAGUGUAGUAAACAGCAACACAAGCUGUGGAGAGGUCAGGAAGGUAAAAAUAGAAAGAGUGUGUACUGGCUUUAGUCACAAGACCAUUGAGAGUUUCAGAAACCAAAUCACAGUGGUUUCAAAACUGAAGGGGAGUUACGAGAAUGGGGCCUCAGUUGGGCGCACCUGGGAAAGCUCCCUCCCGAGCCUGACUUGGAGGAACUGCCCAGCUGGGAUUCUCCUCUUCCAACACACACUCUCCAUUCACCACGACCCUGUGGGUGGGGAAGCUCAUCACGCUGGAGGAGGUGCCCUGACCCGUCACCGAGAGAAGACACACAUAGACAGGGAGAGUGGAAGAGAGAGCGAAAGA